CAGUUAAAUCGUUCUAUGCAGAUCCUGAAUUGUAGCAGAAAUACUCUACUUAGAGGUCAGCGUUGGCUUCUUCCAGGGCCCUGACUUUAUCCAGGCCACAGCUGCCGGCCCCUCCUCGGAAGCCCCGGGCAGAGCCUCCCCCGAGACCGUAUCUGCUUCCGCUGCUGAAGCUGCUGCCACCAGCAGAAACCCUGACGGAGCUGCUGCCUCCAGCCCUGGAGGAGGACAUGCGAGAUGAGCAAGACAUGGUGUUCCUGCGAAGGUCUGGCUUGUCCAGCGCAUCAGUGCUUUGAGGAUUCAAGGUGUUUCCUAAACUUUAAAUCGUUAAACUGGGAGUAGUUCUCAUUACACUGUUCUAAGAUUUUGCUGUUGUGUGCAAAGAGGAAGUUGGACCAAAAUGCCUGUUUGAAUAAACUGGAAUCAUGUCUUCCUGCUAUACCAUAAGAUUUUCAAAAUUAAAUUUGGGAAUUUUGAUAGCUUCAGAAUAAUUUAUUUUGGGGAAAGGGUUUCAACCCUACCAGCCUAUGUAUCCAGCCAGUCCAUCCUAAAGGAAAUCAGUCCUGAAUAUUCAUUGGAAGGACUCAUGCUGAAGCUGAAACUCCAAUACUUUGGCCACUUGAUGCAAAGAACUGAC